UACGUAGGUGGCAAGCGUUGUCCGGAUUUACUGGGCGUAAAGAGCGCGCAGGCGGUCGGAUUAGUCGCGUGUGAAAGCCCCCCGGCUCAACUGGGGAGGGUCACGCGAUACUGUUCGACUCGAAGGCAGGAGAGGGAAGUGGAAUUCCCGGUGUAGUGGUGAAAUGCGUAGAUAUCGGGAGGAACACCAGUGGCGAAGGCGACUUCCUGGCCUGUUCUUGACGCUGAGGCGCGAAAGCUAGGGUAGCAAACGGG
rnacentral:rRNA from 1 species